AUCGCUUCUCGGCCUUUUGGCUAAGAUCAAGUGUAGUAUCUGUUCUUAUCAGUUUAAAAAGCCUAUCUGAAACAGAAUGUAGUAGAGAAUACAUUUUCCAUUUACAUUCUUUUCAGCCUAUAGCAUUCAGACUUAUCUUUU
ensembl:snRNA U2 U2 spliceosomal RNA